GGAGAUUUUAUUGCUGUUUAUGACUGCCUAAUGGGAGGGUAUGGAGAAGGCAGAGCCAGACUGUCUUGUAGUCAGACAGACCUUGCAGAGAUAGGAUGAGAGAAGCCCUGUAUAUAUACAGAUCAAAUGAGGGUUUCUUGAUGAACUGGAAAUGAAUCCUUCUAAACCUCUAUUAGCAUCAGAAAACGCAGGGCAGGCAGCAAACCCUAGAGUAUGUGCAGUAGAAUCCACUGUGUGAUUGUGUACUGCUAGUAGAUUCUGCAUGGGGAGCUCAGUUUGAGAGGAACUACAAAAUUGUGACUGCAACUGGACAACC